AUGUUACGCUUCGACAACAUCGACGGCUGCAGCUACAUCGAUACAAUGCCUAGCCUCCACGGGUACAAGCACUCGCCGCUGGCCAUCUCUGUCCCUCCGACGGACUUACACCUCCUUGACGGUGAAGACACCGGCGACCUCUACAUCAUUGAUAGCGUCCUCCAUCCGGAUAAGGCCGAGGUACGCCCGCAGUUUGAGGCCCUGGUGUGGAGGGGGAUCACCACGUCCCUUGCAUCACACAGGUUCUGGCACUGCGACAUCCUCCCGCUGCCCCCGUGGAUCAUCCACCAUAGGAAUGCCUUGGUCUACGGUCACGCCCUCGUCGGCGACACCGUCUGCUUCUCCAUCUCUGGCUCAGAGGGUGAUGGCACCUACUGCUUCCACAUGGCAACUCGUGAGUGGAGCAAAGCUGGCGACUGGCUCAUGCCUUUCGAUGGCAAGGCGGAUUACGUCCCAGAGCUUGGACUCUGGUUCGGCGUCUCAGAAGACCUCCCCUGUGUUGCUGACCUCUCUGGUGUGGUCAGAGGGGAGGAGCCGCCGCCAGAGAAGAUGCGGGUCUGGGCGCAUGAUGACCUGCCAGAGGAGUGGCAGCCGACCCAAUUGUUCAAGCCCAGGGUCAUCAGCCUCGGUUCUGGCAGGUUCAUUGUCGUGGACUUCUUGGAUGCCAUGGAAUUCGACAAGGACUGCAACGAGAUGGUUACAGGCAAGCAAUUUGCCCUCUUCACUGGUAUGGAGGUAGCGUACGGCAGCAAAGGCAAAAGUGACCAUGCCGAACACAGCAGUAUCAAUGGUCGCAGCGACGGCAAAGGGAAAGGGUUGACGCGUGCCCUCCGUAUGAUUAAGCACAAAUCUGGUCGUUACAUGUUUAACAACCAACAGAGGAUCGAGGAGGUGCUCUGA
rnacentral:rRNA from 1 species